rnacentral:lncRNA from 1 species
GCACGACUGUUUAGAAAAGAAACCGUUGUGGUUUGGUAUUUCAAGAGUCGCGUUGCAGGGUUUGGGAGAAUUGCAAAUUUAGGGUUUUCAAUCAACGGGUUUCAGGGUGUCUCAAUCAGACCACAUUAUAGAUCGCCGGUUUCAGAUCAAUCAACUGGAUGUAGCCGAUAAUCACAGUAUAUUUGAAUCAACAGGUUGUUGCGGUUAUGGUUGUUGUAGAUGCUUCUGUAGCGGAAGAAUUUGCUGAGGUGGCAACCAAGCCAUUGAAAGCCUUACCAUAGGUUACACAUGGUCAAACGUUUAUGGCAUCAGAGAAACCAGAAGGGUCCCAAUUCAGGUGUUGGCAGAUUUUUUUUAACAUGUUGGUUUAUUUUACGUGAAAGAGGAACCUACUGUACCCAAUGAAGUCAAGUCUAAGACCACCCGUAAUCGUUUAGAUUUGGGCGUUUUUAAGCCCAAGCACGCCCCCAAACGACGUUAUCACCACUACGCCCCUUUGAUGACUAGGAUUACACGUGGCGCAAAACGCCCUAGGGUGGGGCAUUAUUCACCCCCCAACGACUACGCAUGGUCUAAGCCACUUGCAGAGGAAAAAAUCUGUUGGUAAACAGCCUAAUCUGGCCUGUUUUGGCCCGCUACCCGAGCCUCCGAUUUUGACACCUAUACCUGUUUUUCUUUCACCUUGGCUUACUAUUGAUCAUGUUCUUGUAUGUCCGUUUACAUCUGUAACUGUACUCGACCCCUGUGAAGAUAAACAAUGUUUUUGUGUUCAUCCUAUCUCUCUCUCUGUAUCCAUCUCCAUGUGGUCAGUGUUACUGUAUGUAAAGUCAAAUGCUUUGGA